AUGCAGCCCAUCCCCAUGCACCCCAAACCCAGGCACCUUGAUCCCCAUACACCACACAUCCCAACCCCAUGCACCCCACUUCCAGUGCACCCCAAUACAUCACAUACCCCACUCCCAUGCACCACACAUUUUCUGUGCACCCCAAUACACAGCACACCCCAACCCCAUGCACCCUCCUUCCCAUGCAUCCCAACACACCAUGCUCCCCAAACCCCCAUGCACCUCGAUGCCCAUACACAGCACACCCCACUUCCCAUGCACCCCAACACACAGUGCUUCCCAAAUCCAUGCACCCCAACACACCCCAACCCUAUGUGCCCCCAGGUAGCAUACUUCCCAUGCACCCCAACACACCAUGCUCCCCAAAACCCCAUACACCUCGACCUCCAUACACAGCUCACCCCACUUCCUAUGCACCCCAACACACUGUACUCCCCAAACCCAUGCUCCUCAACCCCCAUACACAGCACACCCCAACCCUGCUUCCCAUGCACCCCAAUACCCCAUGCUCUUCAGACCCAUGCACCUUGUACCGCAAGUACAGCACCACCCAAUCUCAUGGAUCCCACAUCUGUGCGCCCCAAUACACACCAAACCCCAAAUCCAUACACCCUGUUUCCAGUGCAUCCCAAUACACAGCAAACCCCAAACCCAUGCACCUCGCAUCCCUGUGCACCCCAAUACACCUCACACCCCAACCCAGUGCUCCCUGAUACAUUGUGCAGCCCAUCCCCAUGCACCCCAAACCCAGGCACCUUGAUCCCCAUACACCACAUAUCCCAACCCCAUGCACCCCACUUCCAGUGCACCCCAAUACAUCACAUACCCCACUCCCAUGCACCACACAUUUUCUGUGCACCCCAAUACACAGCACACCCCAACCCCAUGCACCCUCCUUCCCAUGCACCCCAACACACCAUGCUCCCCAAACCCCCAUGCACCUCGAUGCCCAUACACAGCAUACCCCACUUCCCAUUCACCCCAACACACUGUGCUUCCCAAAUCCAUGCACCCCAACACACCCCAACCCUAUGUGCCCCUAGGUAG
rnacentral:lncRNA from 1 species